CCUACGGGAGGCAGCAGUGGGGGAUAUUACACAAUGGAGGAAACUCUGAUGCAGCGACGCCGCGUGAGGGAAGACGGUCUUCGGAUUGUAAACCUCUGUCUUUGGGGAAGAAAAUGACGUUACCCAAACAGGAAGCUCCGGCUAACUACGUGCCAGCAGCCGCGGUAAUACGUAGGGAGAGAGGGUUGUCCGGAAUUACUGGGUGUAACGGGAGCGUAGGCGGGAGAGAAAGUUGAAUGUUAAACCUACCGGCUAAACUGGGAGCUGCGUUCAAAACUUCUUGUCUUGAGUGAAGUAGAGGCAGGCGGAAUUCCUGGUGUAGGGGUGAAAUGCGUAGAUAUCAGGAGGAACAUCAGUGGCGAAGGCGGCCUGCUGGGCUUUAACUGACGCUGAGGCUCGAAAGCGUGGGGAGCAAACAGGAUUAGAUACCCUUGUAGUC
rnacentral:rRNA from 1 species